GGGGCAAGUCGGGCAAUCGCUGCUGAGAAUCUGAAGAAGGUUCUCAGGAGAGGAAAGUCCGAACACCACAGGACAGCGAGCCGGGUAACGCCCGGGCAUCGGUAUUUGAAAACCGAUGACGACAAGUGCAACAGAGAGCAGACCAGCCAGCGGCUCUCCUAAGUAUUUCGGAGAGUGCGGGUGAUGGGUGAAACGGUGCGGUAAGAGCGUACCAGCGCAUCUGGCAACAGAUGCGGCUAGGCAAACUCCUCGCGGUGCAAGACCAAAUAGGAAAGCGUUUUGAGAGUGGUCCGCUCGAAUCCCGGCCUUAGGUCGGGAGACGCUUUCGGGUAGGUCGCUUGAGCGAUUCGGUAACGAAUCGCCUAGAUGAAUGAUUGCCACCGUCUUCUUAGCAAGACGGUACAGAAUUCGGCUUACAGACUUGCCUCUUUU
rnacentral:RNase_P_RNA from 1 species